rnacentral:rRNA from 1 species
GAAACAAGAUACAGGCUAGCGGCGGACGGGUGAGUAACACGUGGGUAACCUGCCCCAAGAGAUCGGGGAUAACACCUGGAAACAGAUGCUAAUACCGGAUAACAACAGAUGAUGCCUAUCAACUGUUUAAAAGAUGGUUCUGCUAUCACUCUUGGGAUGGACCUGCGGUGCAUUAGCUAGUUGGUAGGGUAACGGCCUACCAAGGCGAUGAUGCAUAGCCGAGUUGAGAGACUGAUCGGCCACAUUGGGACUGAGACACGGCCCAAACUCCUACGGGAGGCAGCAGUAGGGAAAUCUUCCACAAUGGACGCAAGUCUGAUGGAGCAACGCCGCGUGAGUGAAGAAGGGGUUUCGGCUCGUAAAGCUCUGUUGUUGGUGAAGAAGGACAGGGGUAGUAACUGACCUUUGUUUGACGGUAAUCAAUUUAGAAAAGUCACGGCUAACUACGUGCCCAGCAGCCGCGGGUAAU